AGUGGGGAAUCUUGCGCAAUGGGCGGAAGCCUGACGCAGCCAUGCCGCGUGAAUGAUGAAGGUCUUAGGAUUGUAAAAUUCUUUCACCGGGGACGAUAAUGACGGUACCCGGAGAAGAAGCCCCGGCUAACUUCGUNCCAGCAGCCGCGGUAAUACGAAGGGGGCUAGCGUUGCUCGGAAUUACUGGGCGUAAAGGGCGCGUAGGCGGACAUUUAAGUCAGGGGUGAAAUCCCAGAGCUCAGCUCUGGAACUGCCUUUAAUACUGGGUGUCUUGAGUGUGAGAGAGGUAUGUGGAACUCCGAGUGUAGAGGUGAAAUUCGUAGAUAUUCGGAAGAACACCAGUGGCGAAGGCGACAUACUGGCUCAUUACUGACGCUGAGGCGCGAAAGCGUGGGGAGCAAACAGGAUUAGAUACCCUGGUAGUCCACGCCGUAAACGAUGAUUGCUAGUUGUCGGGCUGCAUGCAGGGNGGNNACGCAGCUAACGCAUUAAGCAAUCCGCCUGGGGAGUACGGUCGCAAGAUUAAAACUCAAAGGAAUU
rnacentral:rRNA from 1 species